UAGGGAAUCCUCCACAAUGGGCGAAAGCCUGAUGGAGCAACGCCGCGUGUGUGAUGAAGGGUUUCGGCUCGUAAAACACUGUUGUAAGAGAAGAAUGACAUUGAGAGUAACUGUUCAAUGUGUGACGGUAUCUUACCAGAAAGGAACGGCUAAAUACGUGCCCG
rnacentral:rRNA from 1 species